CAAACACACAAAUCUCUGCUCCCGAAACCCUAAAAUGGAGAGCAAUCAAUCUCUACGAGAACAUAUGGAUGUCAGCCCGGAUAGAGAUGAGAUUAAUAGGAUUUACUCUCCAUGCCGUACGUCGGCGUAUUUUGAUCUUCACAAUUCUGCUUACACAGGGGAGCUAGAUCUUUUCAAAAUGAUAGCUUCGUCUUACGAUAAGAGAGGGAAUGGAUUAGCA